GAUGAACGCUGGCGGCGUGCCUAAUACAUGCAAGUCGAGCGAACGGACGAGAAGCUUGCUUCUCUGAUGUUAGCGGCGGACGGGUGAGUAACAUGUGGAUAACCUACCUAUAAGACUGGGAUAACUUCGGGAAACCGGAGCUAAUACCGGAUAAUAUUUUGAACCGCAUGGUUCAAAAGUAAAAGACGGUCUUGCUGUCACUUAUAGAUGGAUCCGCGCUGCAUUAGCUAGUUGGUAAGGUAACGGCUUACCAAGGCAACGAUGCAUAGCCGACCUGAGAGGGUGAUCGGCCACACUGGAACUGAGACACGGUCCAGACUCCUACGGGAGGCAGCAGUAGGGAAUCUUCCGCAAUGGGCGAAAGCCUGACGGAGCAACGCCGCGUGAGUGAUGAAGGUCUUCGGAUCGUAAAACUCUGUUAUUAGGGAAGAACAUAUGCGUAAGUAACUGUGCACAUCUUGACGGUACCUAAUCAGAAAGCCACGGCUAACUACGUG
rnacentral:rRNA from 1 species